rnacentral:lncRNA from 1 species
CCUAGUAUUUAUGCAUUCGGUGUUUGCCUCUGCCGUGAACCUAUACACAAUACGCGCUGACUACACUACCAGCUUUGUUCCCUUGAUGAGGCAACUGGAAACCAGAGAGACCUCUUUUGGUGCUGGCCUUUAAAAGAAUAUUUACAUCUUAAAGACGGAACUGCAGACCUGCCUAGGUUGUAGCUGAGUUUGGUUUGAGAUUUGGGGGCCUAUAGUUUAGACUUCUAGGAAACUUUGGCCCUCAAGAUGUCUGCUGCCCUGGGAAAGGUGAUCUGGAGGUGGUGGUCCCUUCCUUUCGAUGCUCAAAUGGAAGUCGUCAGCUGAAACCCAACGCCGUGCUGGAGUAGGCAGCGUGAACAUAAACCCUCCAAAGCAAGCACAGCCUCAUCAUGGUGCCCUUGCUUUCACUCGGCCAGCUUCGCCAUGAGAGUCCCUCGUUUUGGUAGGAAAAUAGGUCGCACCAAUUACAAUAGUGGAACCUAAAAUAAUUGCAUAUUCUCUUAGAGCUCUGCAGCUCUACGGUAAUGACGUUAUGAGCUAUUGUGAAUUGAAUA